AAAUGGAGAAGGAGGAGGCAGAAGAAGCGGUCAGAGUGAACCAACAUGAGGCGAGAUGCUGGAGCUCUGAAACUGGAGCAAGGGCUCAUGCGCCCAGGGGCUACGAGGCAGCCCCUAGAAGCUUCUCUUCUAGAACCUGCAGAGGGAUCACAGCCCUGGCAACACCUUGAUUUUAGCCCAGUGAGACCCAUUUCAGACUGUCGACACUCAGAUCUGUCAAGAAAAUGUUUGUGCUUUUUUAAGCCGCUGAGUUGGUGAUAAUUUUGUGAGGCAGCGCUAGAAAACUAACACCAGGACACCUCAUCCUACGUGUGUUUCUCCAAUACCAGUACCCGCAGUUAUUUUCUAUACUGUUAUUUGUCCUCUUGUAAGUUCAUCUUGUUUCCUAUUUUUCAUUCUUCACGUAGUAGCCCCAGAACUCACUUUUCCAACAUCUUAAUCCUCAUUAUUUCCACUUCUCUCCUAUUAAGUAAGAAAACUCUUUGAGGGAAGGUAAUGAAUCCAGCUUACAGGGUUUACCUCCCACCACCACCUCAUCUGCUUUUUGCUUUAGAGUCUGAAACUCCUUUAGAAAAUAUUUGCUUCGGCCUGUUAUCUAAUUUACCUGUGACCCUAUGUGUUUAUCAUUGUCCUUGCACUUGGCAAUGUUCUGAUCUACUGCUUUCCUUGAACGGUUCUUCCUGCUUUCCAGACCUUUGUUUCUGGUAAUGAUACGUGGAGCCGUGGGCUUUGGUUGACGGAUUGCUUCUGAUUUUCUAGAUUUUGUGAUCUCUCUCCCCCUGUGCUUCCAGAGAGAAAAGUGCUCGCAGCUGGUUCUGUUGUCCAUGUGAGCACUCGCUUCUCCUAGCUGGUGAGGUCCCUUCAAGUCCUUUUCUUCUCCCAAGUCUAGGGACAAAGUCCUUCUUCUCUUGGCAUUUUUCGGUGGUAGAUCUCUUUCUUCGCAGCAGCUUGUAAAAGCCUCCUCUUGUUUCUGGGCAUGAGUCAUCAUAACUGACAUGUAUUUAGUGCAGCGCUUAACAAAAUAUUUUUCACAGCCCCCCUUGGGGCCUUGAGAACCUUUCCAGGUGUCUGGUAGGUCAGACCUAUUUCCAUAAUAAUACUAAGGUUGUUAGUUCCCUUGUGGCACAGAAGAAAUGAACCUGACUAGCAUCCAUGAAGAUUCGGGUUCAAUCCCUGGCCUCGCCCAGUGGGUGAGGGAUCCGGCGUUGCCGUGAGCUGUGGUGUCGUCGUUUGCAAAUGCAGCUUGGCUCGCACGUCACUGUGGCUGUGGUGUAGGCUGGCAGCUGUAGCUCUGAUUCGACCCCUAGCCUGGGAACCUCCAUAUGCUGCAGGUGUGGCCCUGAAAAGCCAAUCAUAAUAUUGUCACUGGAUAUUUCACAUGGUGCCUGCAGUUAAAAAAAAAAGUCAGCUUCACUUAAGAAUGUCCUUAAUAAAGCAGAAAAUAUACCAGUCUCAUUAAAUCUUGACCCUUGAGUGCACGGCUAUUUUAAUACCCUGAGUGACAAAAUAGGAAGAAUGCAUAAAGGCCAUCUGUUAUAUACUGGGGUAUGGUGGUUGACUCAAGCAAAAACACUUGUAUGCCUGAGUUGCAAGCUGCUUUUUUCAUGGAACAUCAUUUUUACUUGGGAAGACAACUAGCAGACAAGAUUGUGGCUAAAUGUAUUUGUGUAUUUAGCAGACAUUUGCUCAGAAAUGCAAGUGACCCUGUCACUUCAAUGAAAACAACUGAUGGUGUGGUUUUUUUGCAAAUGGUAAAACUUGAGCUUUCGAGGGACAAUCACAGUUUUUGGAAAUUUGUAUUCACUACCGUAAGCUUGACAGCCUUCUAAAACUUAAAAGUAUUUCUGAGGAAAGGGGUUGUGAUAGUAACGCAUACUAAUAUGAUUUGUUUGUUGCUGUUGUAUAGUGAAAUGUGUCCGCAUUUGAAAUAUCUUCAUUACUUAGUGAACCCAUAUUCUCUGGUCACCCUACAUGGCAUUAUAGUCAUGUGAAGAUAAAAGAUUCGUUCAAGUGCAAGAGAGAAUGCAAAGUAGCAGAUUUUAAUGUGGCAGAUUCCACACCACAGUUAACUUUCAGGGAACUACCACUGGUUGAGUUUGGGUGUCCUAUCAAAGAAAAAUAUCCGGGAGUUCCCGCUGUGGCACAACAGGAUCAGUGGUGUCUCUGGAGCACCGGGACGCAGGUUUGAUCCCGGCCCAGCACAGUGGGUGAAGGGUCCGUCCUUGCCGCAGCUGUGGUGUAGG
rnacentral:lncRNA from 1 species